AUCGUAGAUGGAAAAAGGAAGAAGCAAUCAUAUGGUUUUCUUUCUUUGCUGGCUCAUUUUGAUGGGUGCUCGUGGAAACAACAGAACAGAAGAAUCACUGGCUUAUCUGUAUUCCACACAGUAAGCCAAUGGCAAGGUCUGCAGACACAGGCAUUCCUGUGUUCAGGAAUUUUCACACUAAGAGCAUCACUUCUGAAGUGCAACACUACAGCUUACAAUAACCUACCACAGAUCAAACUGUGCAAUUCGAGUGCAACUGGUAGAGUAUCAUGCUUCGUAUUUUUUUCAUAAUUAGUU
rnacentral:lncRNA from 1 species